rnacentral:rRNA from 1 species
GACAGAGGGUGCAAACGUUGCUCGGAAUUACUGGGCGUAAAGCGCGUGUAGGCGGUUCCGCAAGUCAGGUGUGAAAGCCCAGGGCUCAACCCUGGAAUUGCCUUCGAUACUGUCUGGCUAGAGACCGGAAGAGGUAAGUGGAACUGCGAGUGUAGAGGUGAAAUUCGUAGAUAUUCGCAAGAACACCAGUGGCGAAGGCGGCUUACUGGUCCGGUUCUGACGCUGAGGCGCGAAAGCGUGGGGAGCAAACAGG